GAGGUUUAGCUCAGUUGGGAGAGCGUCUGCCUUACAAGCAGAGGGUCACAGGUUCAAGCCCUGUAAUCUCC
rnacentral:tRNA from 1 species